GAGUGAGACACAGAGGGAGUUGCUGGCAAAUGCCACUGCUUCCUGAGGGCAUAAUGGUAAGAGACAGCUGCUACUGCCAGCCCAGGAGCGUGAGCUGGUGGGAGCCGCUUUGCUCCACCGAAAAGCUUUCAGUCUGAUUGAGAUCCUUACUACUUUGGGAGAAAUCAAGCUCUUUGGCUGUAGUUCUUGUUGUUUCGUAUGGCUCCCUGCAUGAAGCUGAGUCUACACUGAAAGCAUAAGAUGACUCUGAGAUUUACUGAUGAAUUUUUGAUUUCUGGAAGAGGUGCUUGUGACAUGUUUCUCGGAUGUCAAAACAACUCAGGCAGCCUUGGACAGUAUGCACCUUGUGUUGGUGUCAGUGAAGGUGCCAUUUGGUCUUCACCCUCAGGCGUCAAAAUAUCUUGGACUGACCCUGAUAUUCCACCUGUUAAUAAUGAGAGGUAUCUUCCCCUUUGUUUCUUCUCAUGAUAUUUGUAAUAAUGUGGUUUGUUGAACAGAACAGAAAUGUCUUAUGGCUACUCAGACCCCACCAUUCUCCAUAUGUAUCUACCCUCAUCAUCAUGAUGCUGGUUUGGUGCCUAUUUUUUUUCUGUUUGAUUAAAAUACACUGCACAUGUAACUGCUUCUGGUUGAAUUCAAAUUUUCAUUUUGUGCUGUAUGGGGGGUAAAAAUAUAGUGUGUCUCCUCAAAUGUUAAAGUAACACAUGGCUGUUUUAUGUUUAAAAACUUGGCAACAUCACAUUUUCCGCAUAAAAUCAGACUUCAUUCAGAAACAGUUUGAACUGAUGCCUUUGCUUUUAUUAUUUCAGGCUGUAGGUUGAGCUGGGGGGGUAUCACUGCUACUGAAUCAAAAACACAAUGAAGUGUUCAGUUUGUGUAUUUUUCCCAUUGAUUCCUAUGCAAAAUUAUCACAUCUUGCAAACAGCAAAAAUCUGACAUUAAAAGUCCUAGCUCUAGAUGCCUGUCAGUCUAGUCACUGUUAAGUCUGUAAUUUUGUUUUGUCUAGGUGAGUGGUUAAUCACUAAUCACAUACUGAACAGUGGACACUAUGAUGUCAUUUUUAUAUCUGGGAAAGAGUGUUACACAGAUUGAUCUACAACAAAUAUUAUUUAAUAGAAUUCUACAGAAGAGGGGAUCUGUUUUUAAAGAAACAUAAAACUUCAAAGGCCCUGCAAUGCCCUGGACUCUCAGGAAGUGGAGAUGACCCUAACUUCUCCUCCUAACUUCUGUACCAAACUGAAAGUGUUCCUUUCUAUUCCUUCCAGAAUGCUUGGCAGCACUGAGGUCUACAAGCAGAAGAAUGCCAUAGAAGUGUGCAAACUCAUAAUGCUGUGUUCUCUCCUCAGAUAUGGCUAUGUGUUGAGAAUUUUAAGGGCAAUAGAACCCCAUUACUCUUAGGGUGAUGCUGCCUGCACAAGUUACCUGGAUCUAAGGCAGCUAAAGAUCACCCUUAGAGUUGAGCAGUUCC
rnacentral:lncRNA from 1 species